UACGAAGGGUGCAAGCGUUACUCGGAAUUACUGGGCGUAAAGCGUGCGUAGACGGUUAUUUAAGUCGGAUGUGAAAGCCCCGGGCUCAACCUGGGAAUGGCAUUGGAAACUGGCGGACUCGAGUGUGGCAGAGGGGGGUGGAAUUCCGCGUGUAGCAGUGAAAUGCGUAGAGAUGCGGAGGAACACCGAUGGCGAAGGCAGCCCCCUGGGCUAACACUGACGCUCAGGCACGAAAGCGUGGGAGCAACAGG
rnacentral:rRNA from 1 species